GUGCUGGAGGGAGUGGGGCAAAUCCUGAUGACUGCUGACCCCGGGUGACGGGUGUGUGGCGGCUCCUUAUGUUCUCCUGGCUGAAAACAUCCAUAGUAAUUGAUCGGUUGUGCUCCGUUUAUUGCUUCAGGCUGCUAUCCACUUGAGAAGUCCCGCAGAACAUCGCAAAUCACCGACCUGUCACUCUGGCUCACCUGCAUGUUCACCGGGCACGAACAGGGCACUUCUCAUGGGCAGGGGCCCUCAGCUGCAGACGUUCCUGCUUCUUCUGCUGACGGGACUCGCUGAAACCUUCCUGCAGGUUCCAGGCGCCGGGGAAGGAACUUCAUUUCACUCAUCUGAACCUCCCAGUGUCCUCGUUACAGAGGUGGGCCUGCUGGUGGUGACUCUGGGCGGAGCUGAGCACCACAGCCGGGACCUGUCACCUGCACUCAAGGGAAGACCCAGGGGUAUUUUCCAGCAGAAAUAAUGGGCCACCGUGGCUUUUUAAAGAGCUGUGACUUAUCUCUGGGACCACGUCCAGGCUGGAGCUGCUGGAGACCAGCCCAGGCAUCCUGGCCAGUGAGGAGAUUUUAAUGCCGUGGCGGCCUGUCUGCAGGUGGGAGGCAGCCGAGGCUUCCCCUGUGGAGGUGGCCAGGUGUUAGGGUGACCCGUGCUGCGCACAGAAAAGCAGGUCACUGCAGGAGCGUGUCUUGAGCACUCCAACUUCUCUAGUGGGUUUGAACCACAGGAUGGUAAACUGGAGUAACUCAGAGCCCAGGAGGAAUAUUUGCAGGUGGGACCAUGUGGUUUGGUCGCCUUCAUUACUCAAAAGCAGGACUUUGUGUUUGCGAAGAUGUGAAUUAUGUUCCUUUGAUCAAAACAGCUCCAUGUGUCCUCCACAUGGAAACACACAUCUUUUUGGCCAGUUCCCUGGACCGAGACGGCCAUCUCUGCUCUCCACCCAGGGCAGGCCCUCUUCCUCACUCACAGGACCCGAGGUCACGUGCUCCCGAAACCUUGUCCAGCUCCCUGACACUGUGCCUGUGUGACCCUGUUCCAGCCUUGAGGUGGAAGCAGACAGCUGCUGGGGAUUCUGGGAAAGCACCGUUUUCCCAUUAGCCUCUUCCUCCUGGUCAACUCCUUCUCCUCUGCUCCUGGUCUGGGGCAGACAAGGGCUGGGGCCCAGCAUCGCCAGCUGAGGGCACCGUGAGAGCCAAGGCCCAGCUGAGGACGGAGGGCAGAGGGGCAGGGGGAGCCGGCCUGCCUCCUGGUGACGUCACAUGGCAUCUGCACCCGCCCUGGAUCCCGCCCCUGGAUGGAUUGACCUGGACGGCGGCAGCCACCCUCAGACCAGAGCAUGAGCCCCCUGAGGCCGGGGCCCCCAGCAGCAGCUGCACACAUGGGAACGAAUAGACACUGCAGCAGCUCACCAAAUGCUGCUGUUCCCAGCACAAGCCAGGCCGAGUCCGUCUCUGACUUUGCCCCGAACCUGAGGAAGAAGACCACCUUGGCCGCCCACCCAGUGGCACACUACGGGGAGGGCUGCUGACGCUGUUGGUGCCCUGCCGCAUCCCCUUUCCUGUCUCCCGACACCAGCUGCUCUGAGUGCUGGAACCUCAAGGCUCACAGGUGCCCCUGCCACCACCAGAGCGCUGCCCUAGACCAAAGGCAGCUUCCUCACCCAGGAGGUUAUGACCCCCAGGCACAUCCAAGGGCAGCCCAUAGCCCACCACGGAGGGACACGGACGCCAAGUCUGGCCCCCUCGCUUCAAGUUGGAAUGGACUCUGGGACAAAGUUGGGCUCCAGGGAUCUCCAUGGAGUCAGGAUGGAGUUACUCUCCUCCCUUAGUUAGCUUUCCUCCCUGCCCUGUUCCGUGGAUAGUUGAAAACAAUAGAAGUCAUGCCCGUAAAUUUAGGCAGAGAGAGAAUUUACUAAAAUGGAAUGGGUAGGUAGGAAGUUUCCCAGAGGGCCAGGUAAUCAGAGAGGCUGCAUAGCUAAGAACUUGGUCCAAAAAUCACCCCACAGAGCUAGUCAUGUGCAAAUACCUCUGAGCACAGAUGCUGUAGCUCCUGCCACUCAAAGCACAGAUGGGCUAGUCCCAGCAUUGAUUUCAUGAGGCUCCUGCUUCUUAAAGUGACAAGACUCCCAUUCAAAACCUAGGUAUAUGGGCCCUGACCAGUAUGGCUCAGUGGGCUGGGCAUCGCACCACAAAGCAAAGGAUCACCAGUUUGAUUUCUGGUCACAGCACAUGCCUGGGUUGCAGGUUCGGUCCCCGGUCAGGGUGCAUGUGAGAAGCAACCAAUCGAUGUUUCUCUCUUACAUAAAUGUGUCUCUCCCUCUCUUUCUCCCUCCCUUCCCUUCUUUUUAAAAAAAUAUGUAUAUGGGUACAGAGAAUGAGUAAAACCAGAGACACUUGCCCCAGCCCUAGCUGAGUAAUUGGAGGUACAGCAAAAGGCAGCAGUUAGCAGAUGCAGAGUUUCUGUAUGGCUACCGGACGUACAAGUGCUCCCUGAACUCCUUAGCUGGCCGUGGAAGAGCUGCCUUCCCCCUUAAGCCGCUGGCUUUCCCACACCAGAAGGUGGCAAUACAUCCUGCUCUAGUUAUGUUGUUCCUCCCCGGUGACAGACAGCGCUGUCACCCCUUCCCCAAGAGUCUCUGUCUUUUUAGCCUCUUUUCCUUAAAGCAACAAAGAGAUGACCAACUUGUCAUCGGUGUAGCUCCAAUCAUUACUUACUCUUCCUCAGCACGAAGCCAACCUCGGGAUCAAUGUGCUGGUGCCUGGAAGCGUUUCAUGUGUUCGACCUCAGGCAUGGACGCACGGGAGACCAUGGAGUCCACCCAGAGCUACACGUAUGAGAAGGGAAAACAGGCAGAGAAAGGGCUGCCCUCGUGUCUGCACUAAACUUUCCCUCCCUCCCUCCUUUCCUUCCUUAACAAGUGUUUAUGGAGUGUCCGCCAUCUGCCAAGCAAUAUGCUGGAAGUUGGACAUAUGCUGCCGAGACAAGAAUCGGCCUGGUCCCUGUCGCCGUGGACAAUUCACUUAGGGUAUACAGGACGCUAAAGAGGGCAGAUGUUAACCAAACAGUCACUGAAAUGGAUGCAAUCUGCAGACUGAGACAAGCAAGCCGUAUUUAUCAAAGCCAAUGCAAUCACGUCCUCGCCUGCUCCGAAUCCUCCGGCUCCUUCCCCACGUGCAGGGGAAACUCCUCCCUCCCAGCCCCCGGGGACGUGGCCCUGGCUGCCUCUCUGGCCAGCCUCCUGACAUCCUGCCUGCACUUCCUGGGCGCGGCCACAUCGACCUUCCUCCAUUUCUUCUACUUCCUUAGGCCCCGUCAUCUCGAGUCUCUGCUACUCACAGCCACACCCGACCCCACGGACACAGCACGUUCGGGAGCUGCUGUCUUCAUUUUAAGGACAAAGUGAAGCCAGAUAAGCAUUCAGACCGCAGGGUGGCGUGUG